CUAGACAUUAAUUUGUCUUUGUUGGCUGCAUGUUAAUUUUCUUUUUUACAGUUUUGAUUUACAAGUAAAGGAAUAACAGUAUCUUUAAAUUUCACUGCUUUUUAAAACGAUAUAGAUAUUUUACAGAAUGUAUUUAUUGUAUUUUCAUAAAUGUGUUUUUUGUUAGUUAGAUAUUUUUUAAUUAUCACAAAAGUGGAGUGUGACCUUUUAACAGCUCAUGCUGAGGAAGUUAAAUCACAAUUUUCUGUGUGUCCCAGGCUAUACAAGCAUUUGAGAGGCUGGCCUGGGGCGAGCGACAGUGAGUGAGUGGACCUAAGUUCUGAGACACAUAUUGAAAAGUGUCCCUGCAAAAUAUUUAGGUCAAAUGACUAAAUAUAAAAACUCUGGCAAUGAAUUACAUUCUUUAUCUAAAAAUAACAUGGCAGAAUGCCACACAAAGGCCACUGAGCUCAAGGUAAAUGUUUGAUGUCUUUAAAUGUCUUUUUACAUGAUUUAUUUUUUUCAUGAAAAAUACGAACUAUAAAAUUGAAACUAAAAGCAGUAUUUUGAAGAAAAUAAACUCUAUUACUUCAGUCGUAACAUAGGAAAAUGGCAAUAAGUUUAUUUUAUAUUCCUUUCUACAGGUUGAGUAACAGCACAUGCAGCUGAUUUCUGAAAAGAUGGAAUAUAGUUGGAAAUGUACAGUAGGGAAUCUGUUCCCUAUCAUAUUUAAAUAACAGUAGAUGCCAUUAUUAAAACAAUUAUUUGAUCCUUCUCCUAUUUUUUUAUUUAUUUGUUUGUUUAUUUAUUGUAUUUUUAUCAUUGUCAAUUAGACCCUGAACAACAGGGUUUUACAGCACAGGCCUACUGUUAGAGUGUGUCUUCAUGUGCUUGAUUAGGUUGUAAUAGUGGCAGGCCUAACGGCAGUCAGCAGACAGUUAAUCCCAGACCGUAAUGCCACGUGUAUUUCAUUUGCACUGUAAAGGAUUUGUGCGGAUCAGACGCUUGAUGUGUCACCACCUGAUAUUUACUUUCCUGACUACAGCCAUCUCAGAACUGGGAAAUUAAUUCCACUGCACACAAGAGGGAAUCCCCUUCAUCUCUUCUCCACUUCCCGGUCCUCUUGUACUUCUGUGCUAGUUCAGUCAGAAGCCAAAGAAAUGUCAGGGAAUGGUCGAUAUAAACCUUUAUUGAAAAGAACUUGCAGAUUUUUAGAGACAGACUUUGAGAGCAACCUGAGGUUAAGUGUAAUGUUUAGAAAUGUUUAAUGUAUUGCCCUGGCCAAGGUUCAAAUCUCAGCCCAGAUGCAUAAGCACAACACAUUCACCCUCAGAAAAUCUGAAUUGUUAAGUGCAAUUCUGAUGCAAGUUUACACAUUCUUUAUGCUUGUAUUUCUUUAUUCAGCACAUGUUGCUGAUUUUGUGUUCAGUAACCACCAGAAAUGCUGAAAUGUACUUCAAACAUUGCUAAAAGCUAUUUUAUUUUGGUGUUGAGAAUUCCCACAUUUUCAGUUGUCCAGAAUCACUUUUGAAACAUCUGGCUUUUGUAUUAGAUGUGAAGGGACAUCUCUUGUACACAAUGACAUGCUUGUCACUGUUGAAGUUUGAUAGGACCAGGCAGUGUUCACGGUACUAGAAGGGGUCCCUCUGUAAUGUAAUGUAGUUCUGUGGAAAAACGUACAAUACUGCCAUCUGCUGACGUGAAUUGGAACCAAAUUUAUGAAAGCGUUUCAUGAAGGGUCAAAAUGUGCCAGUUUACCCGAUAUAUAUAAUAAAUGUAUAAUAAUACAUUUCAAGUAUUUGCAAUACACAAUGCAACACUUUUUCUUCACUUUUCUAGGGCAGCUUAAUUUAUUGUUGGAAUAUGAAUUUGACCAAGCAUCUACAGUCACACAUCCUGCACCUCACUCCUAACACAUGUCCACCAUUUGUAAUGCAUUAUGAUUUAUGUUUCGCUCUACUGAUUGUAUUGGAUAAUGUCUGACUGCAUCUCAACUAUCUUUAUAUGCAAGAGAGAAUGAUGAGCAUUUAAAAAGCUAGAAAAGAUGGGAUGUCUUUUUUUCCUAGAUUAGAGACUUUGUCUUGUCAAAUGAUGUGUAUAAUCUAUAUGUAUGUUAUGCUGGUAAUUUGAUUAAAUAAUUAUCCAUUUUUAAUAAUUGAAAAAAAUAAAAAAAAUAAAAUCCUAGUCAAUAAAAAUAAUAAUUAUUAUUAUAAACACAGUAGGCAGUUAACUUUGUUUCCACUGAUGAGGAUACUAAUAACAGCAAGCAGCACCACUGCUGAGUCAGAGCAUUAGGCAGCUGUAUACAUCAGAACACACAACAGCUUAGACCAGUUAACUUUAACCAAACACCCUGUGCUAAAUAUCUUUGAAAGCUGCACACACACUGGUAUCUCAAGUUCAGGAAACUUUGCCAUGAAGCAGCAUUGCAUUCUAUGGCACACCAGGAUGCAUCCUUUAUUCAUUUAACAUACAGUUGGACAGCUCAUGUUUGCUCUUGACUUUGAAGGGAAGAUGAUGUGAUAGGUUAAACAGUAACAGUAUAACCAGAACACAAUAUUUGAAUAAGUAUGAUGUUUUUUUUUGUGUGUGUGUGUGUAAGAAAUUCAGAGAAUAUAAAUUGGUAAAUGGAUGGGUAAACUUGUAUCACUUAUGUGCUUUCACACACAUUUACAUGUAUGGUCAAUCCUAAUUGCUGAUAUAAAUAGAUGAGGGGGUAGGAUAAGCUGUCUCAGAUGACUCCUUCCUCAUAGGUCCAGACCGAGUGGAAGUGAAUGAGGUCAGGGAGACAGCAAAGGGAGAAGGAUUUAUUUGGAGAAAACAUGCUGAUCAGUUUUAUAACUGAAAUCACAAAUGAAGAUCAGUGUUUUUUUGUAUUUGCUUGUAUGUACACUAAAUGUAUAACUGGAAACAACUUAUUCUAUUGUAUAAAGAUACUUAACAUGCUGGUAUAAAUAGUUAAUUAGAUUGGUCAAAUGCUAAAGAAUGUCAGUAAAAUG
ensembl:lncRNA